rnacentral:rRNA from 1 species
UACGGAGGGUGCAAGCGUUAUCCGGAUUCACUGGGUUUAAAGGGUGCGUAGGUGGGUCUGUAAGUCAGUGGUGAAAUCUCCAAGCUUAACUUGGAAACUGCCGUUGAUACUAUAGAUCUUGAAUGCUGUGGAGGUGAGCGGAAUAUGUCAUGUAGCGGUGAAAUGCGUAGAGAUCGGGAGGAACACCAGAGGCGAAAGCGGCGACCUGGACAAGUACUGACACUCAACUACGAAAGCGUGGGGAGCAAACAGG